AGUGCAAUGCAGUGGUGUUUAUAACCAAUUGAUCACAACCAGUAACAGAUUUCUUUGUUCCUUCCCAUUCCCACUGCUUCAUUUGACUAAAUUAAA
ensembl:misc_RNA Y_RNA Y RNA